GGGGUUGUGGCUCAGCAGUAGAGCGUUUGCCUAGCAAGUGCGGGACCCUGAGUUCGAUCCUCAGCACCA
rnacentral:tRNA from 1 species